rnacentral:rRNA from 1 species
AUGGCGGCCGCGCUGAGGAGAGCCGUCGCGCAGCGCUUUGCGGCGGCGCCGCAGCAGGCCUACGGGAUGCCCCGCCGCUUCAUGCAGGAGCGCCCCGCCUUUCGCCCCGCGGUGCCUCCGGACGUGGGAUUCAUGCCCCUGGCCGACCGGAUCCGCGACCACCUCGGCGUCUCCUUCCCGCGCAUCAACCUCGACGGCCUCGUGCCGCCCGCCCCUGCCCGCCCCCAGACCCAGCCGACGAGGGAGGCCGCCGCGGUGGUGGGCAGCCUCACGGUGGAGGAGGCGCGGAAGGUGCUGCGCGCCACGCAGAUGGAGGCGGCGCGCGCGCGGGUGCGGGCGUCCCGCGAGGGCACCGUGCCCUACGCCGAGUUCCUGCGCCUCUGCUGCGACGCGGCGGGGGCGGACGACGGGCCCUCCGUCGCGCGCGCGCUCGACGAGUCCGGAUCCGUCAUCGUGCUCGGCAGGACCGUCUUCCUCAGGCCCGAAAUGGUUGUGAAAGCAAUUGAGAAGGCAAUACCCAUACCGCGAGGACCAUCUAUUGCUGAGAAUCACCCUGCAAGGGAGGAGCUGAAGGCCAUGGAGUCCCAGAAGGUAGACAUCGACCGCAUGGCGACGCUCCAGGUGCGGCGGGAGCUGUGGGGAGGGCUGGCUGCCCUAGCCCUCCAAACGGCCGGCUUCAUGAGGCUCACAUUCUGGGAGCUCUCCUGGGACGUCAUGGAGCCCAUCUGCUUCUUCGUGACGUCGACAUACUUCAUGGCGGGCUACGCCUUCUUCCUCCGGACCAAGAGGGAGCCCUCGUUCGAGGGCUUCUUCCAGAGCCGUUUUGCGGUGAAGCAGAAGCGCCUUAUGCAGGCCCGGGAAUUUGAUGUCCGCCGGUACAGUGAGCUCCGGCAAGCCUGUGGCCUCCCGGCGCUACAUCCUCAGAGCCCCUGUGCGUCCUCGCAGGAGAACCACCAUUGCCAUUGUCAUUGA